rnacentral:rRNA from 1 species
GAUGAACGCUGGCGGCGUGCCUAAUACAUGCAAGUCGAACGCUGGAGAUCUAGCUUGCUAGCUCGAAGGAGUGGCGAACGGGUGAGUAAUACAUAAGCAACCUACCCACGAAGACUGGGAUAAUCUCUGGAAACGGGGACUAAUACCGGAUAGGUAAUCGGAAGGCAUCUUCUGGUUAUUAAAGGUUAAAAACACUGGUGGAUGGGCUUAUGGCGCAUUAGUUAGUUGGUGAGGUAACGGCCCACCAAGACGAUGAUGCGUAGCCGGCCUGAGAGGGUGAACGGCCACAUUGGGACGGAGACACGGCCCAGACUCCUACGGGAGGCAGCAGUAGGGAAGUUUCGGCAAUGGGGGCAACCCUGACCGAGCAACGCCGCGUGAGUGAAGACGGCCUUCGGGUUGUAAAGCUCUGUUGUAAGGGAAGAACGGUAGAUAGAGAAUAUCUAAGUGACGGUACCUUACCAGAAAGCCACGGCUAACUACGUG